AUUGAACGCUGGCGGCAUGCUUUACACAUGCAAGUCGAACGGCAGCGCGGGCUUCGGCCUGGCGGCGAGUGGCGAACGGGUGAGUAAUGCAUCGGAACGUGCCCAGUAGUGGGGGAUAGCCCGGCGAAAGCCGGAUUAAUACCGCAUACGACCUGAGGGUGAAAGCGGGGGACCGAAAGGCCUCGCGCUAUUGGAGCGGCCGAUGUCGGAUUAGCUAGUUGGUGGGGUAAAGGCUUACCAAGGCGACGAUCCGUAGCUGGUCUGAGAGGACGACCAGCCACACUGGGACUGAGACACGGCCCAGACGCCUACGGGAGGCAGCAGUGGGGAAUUUGGGACAAUGGGGGCAACCCUGAUCCAGCCAUGCCGCGUGCGGGAAGAAGGCCUUCGGGUUGGAAACCGCUUUUGUUCGGGAAGAAAUCCUCUGGGCUAAUACCCCGGGGGGAUGACGGUACCGGAAGAAUAAGCACCGGCUAACUACGUG
rnacentral:rRNA from 1 species